rnacentral:tRNA from 1 species
GCCUGGCUGGCUCAGCUGGUGAAGCAUGCAACUCUUGAUCUCAGAGUCGUGAGUUCAAGCCCCACGUUGGGCA